UUGAAAAGAGAGUUAAAAAGCACGUGAAAUUGUUGAAAGGGAAGCGCUUGCGACCAGACUCGCCUCCAGGGUUCAGCCGGCAUUCGUGCCGGUGUACUUCCCUGGGGGCGGGCCAGCGUCGGUUUGGGCGGCCGGUCAAAGGCUCCCGGAAUGUAGUGCCCUUCGGGGCACCUUAUAGCCGGGAGUGCAAUGCGGCCAGCCUGGACCGAGGAACGCGCUUCGGCACGGACGCUGGCAUAAUGGUCGCAAACGACCCGUCUUGAAACACGGACCAAGACCCGGGUCGUUUG
rnacentral:rRNA from 1 species